AUACGUAGGGUGCGAGCGUUGUCCGGAAUUACUGGGCGUAAAGAGCUCGUAGGUGGUUUGUCGCGUCGUCUGUGAAAUUCCGGGGCUUAACUCCGGGCGUGCAGGCGUUACGGGCAUAACUUGAGUACUGUAGGGGAGACUGGAAUUCCUGGUGUAGCGGUGAAAUGCGCAGAUAUCAGGAGGAACACCGGUGGCGAAGGCGGGUCGCUGGGCAGUAACUGACGCUGAGGAGCGAAAGCAUGGGUAGCGAACAGGAUUAGAUACCCUGGUAGUCCAUGCCGUAAACGGUGGGCGCUAGGUGUAGGGGUCUUCCACGACUUCUGUGCCGUAGCUAACGCAUUAAGCGCCCCGCCUGGGGAGUACGGCCGCAAGGCUAAAACUCAAAGGAAUUGACGGGG
rnacentral:rRNA from 1 species